rnacentral:ncRNA from 1 species
CACUGUCGCCAGGGGAGUCCCGCCGGCAUCGGCGGGGCUGAGAGAGCGUGCGUCGCUGACCCUGGAACCUGAUCCGGUUCACACCGGCGGAGGAAGUGCGACAUGCCUUAUCU